rnacentral:rRNA from 1 species
UACGGAGGAUGCGGGCGUUAUCCGGAUUUAUUGGGUUUAAAGGGUGCGUAGGCGGGAUGCCAAGUCAGCGGUAAAGAUGCGGUGCUCAACGCCGUCGAGCCGUUGAAACUGGCGUUCUCGAGUGGGCGAGAAGUAUGCGGAAUGCGUGGUGUAGCGGUGAAAUGCAUAGAUAUCACGCAGAACUCCGAUUGCGAAGGCAGCAUACCGGCGCCCUACUGACGCUGAGGCACGAAAGCGUGGGUAUCGAACAGG